ACUCCUACGGGAGGCAGCAGUGGGGAAUCUUGGACAAUGGGCGCAAGCCUGAUCCAGCCAUGCCGCGUGAGUGAUGAAGGCCCUAGGGUCGUAAAGCUCUUUCGCCAGGGAUGAUAAUGACAGUACCUGGUAAAGAAACCCCGGCUAACUCCGUGCCAGCAGCCGCGGUAAUACGGAGGGGUUAGCGUUGUUCGGAAUUACUGGGGCGUAAAGCGCGCGUAGGCGGACUGGAAAGUUGGGGGUGAAAUCCCGGGGCUCAACCCCGGAACUGCCUCCAAACUCCCAGUCUUGAGUUCGAGAGAGGUGAGUGGAAUUCCGAGUGUAGAGGUGAAAUUCGUAGAUAUUCGGAGGAACACCAGUGGCGAAGGCGGCUCACUGGCUCGAUACUGACGCUGAGGUGCGAAAGUGUGGGGAGCAAACAGGAUUAGAUACCCUGGUAGGAUAGCG
rnacentral:rRNA from 1 species